GCAAGUCGAACGGUAACAGCAAAAUGCUUGCAUUUUGGCUGACGAGUGGCGAACGGGUGAGUAACGCGUAGAAAUCUAUCCUAGAGCGGGGGAUAACCAGGGGAAACCCGGACUAAUACCGCAUAUGCCUUACGAGGUAAAGAGGGCCUCUGUUUCAAGCUCUCACUUUAGGAAGAGUCUGCGUCCGAUUAGCUUGUUGGUGGGGUAAUAGCCUACCAAGGCUACGAUCGGUAGCUGGUCUGAGAGGAUGAUC
rnacentral:rRNA from 1 species